AAAGGGGCUGCUCCUAGUACGAGAGGACCGGAGUGGACGAACCUCUGGUGUUCGGGUUGUCAUGCCAAUGGCAUUGCCCGGUAGCUAAGUUCGGAAUCGAUAACCGCUGAAAGCAUCUAAGCGGGAAGCGAGCCUUGAGAUGAGUUUUCCCUGGCACUAUAGUGUCCUAAAGGGUUGUCGUAGACUACGACGUUGAUAGGCAGGGUGUGUAAGUGCUGCGAGGCAUUGAGCUAACCUGUACUAAUUGCCCGUGAGGCUUAACCAUACAACACCCAAGGGGUUU
rnacentral:rRNA from 1 species